CUGGCCUACGGGCGGCUGCAGCCAAGAAUAUUCCGCAAUGGGGGAAACCCUGACGGAGCGACACUGCGUGAAUGAUGAAGGCCUUUGGGUUGUAAAGUUCUUUUAUAAAGGAAGAAUAAGUUGGGAAGGAAAUGACUCAAUGAUGACGGUACUUUAUGAAUAAGUCCCGGCUAAUUACGUGCCAGCAGCCGCGGUAAUACGUAAGGGACGAGCGUUAUUCGGAAUUACUGGGCGUAAAGGGCGUGUAGGCGGCCGAUUAGGCUGAGUGUUAAAGACUAGGGCUCAACUCUAGAAGGGCAUUCAGAACCGGUUGGCUAGAAUCUGGUGGAAGACAGCGGAAUUUCCUGUGUAGCGGUGGAAUGCAUAGAUAUGGGAAGGAACACCAAAGGCGAAGGCAGCUGUCUAUGCCGAGAUUGACGCUGAGGCGCGAAAGUGUGGGGAUCAAAUAGGAUUAGAUACCCUGGUAGUCCAAA
rnacentral:rRNA from 1 species